rnacentral:miRNA from 1 species
UACGCUCUCACGCCCGUCCUA